rnacentral:rRNA from 1 species
AUUGAACGCUGGCGGCAGGCCUAACACAUGCAAGUCGAACGAGUGGCGGACGGGUGAGUAAUGGCUGGGAACCUGCCUGAUGGAGGGGGAUAACUACUGGAAACGGUAGCUAAUACCGCAUACCAUCAGAUGUGCCCAGAUGGGAUUAGCUUGUUGGGGUGGUAAAGGCUUACCAAGGCGACGAUCCGUAACUGGCAUGAGAGGAUGAUCAGGCAAACUGGAACUGAGACACGGUCCAGACUCCUACGGGAGGCAGCAGUGGGGAAUUUUGGACAAUGGGCGCAAGCCUGAUGCAGCCAUGCCGCGUGUAUGAAGAAGGCCUUCGGGUUGUAAAAUACUGUCAGUGGGGAAGCGGUACCCGAAGAAGAAGCACCGGCUAACUCCGUGCCAGCAGCCGCGGUAAUAC